AUUGAACGCUGGCGGCAGGCUUAACACAUGCAAGUCGAGCGGAGAUGAGGUGCUUGCACCUUAUCUUAGCGGCGGACGGGUGAGUAAUGCUUAGGAAUCUGCCUAUUAGUGGGGGACAACAUUCCGAAAGGAAUGCUAAUACCGCAUACGCCCUACGGGGGAAAGCAGGGGAUCUUCGGACCUUGCGCUAAUAGAUGAGCCUAAGUCGGAUUAGCUAGUUGGUGGGGUAAAGGCCUACCAAGGCGACGAUCUGUAGCGGGUCUGAGAGGAUGAUCCGCCACACUGGGACUGAGACACGGCCCAGACUCCUACGGGAGGCAGCAGUGGGGAAUAUUGGACAAUGGGCGGAAGCCUGAUCCAGCCAUGCCGCGUGUGUGGAGAAGGCCUUCUGGUUGUAAAGCACUUUAAGCGAGGAGGAGGCUACCUGGAUUAAUACUCUAGGAUAGUGGACGUUACUCGCAGAAUAAGCACCGGCUAACUCUGUGCCAGCAGCCGCGGUAAAAC
rnacentral:rRNA from 1 species